CGCCUUGCCAGCCCGCUCAGAAACUUAAAGGAAUUGAGGGGGCCCCGCACAAGCGGUGGAGCAUGUGGUUUAAUUCGAUGAUACGCGAGGAACCUUACCUGGGCUCAAAUGUAUGUUGACGUAUUCUGAAAGGGAUACUUCUUCGGACAAUAUACAAGGUGCUGCAUGGUUGUCGUCAGCUCGUGCCGUGAGGUGUCGGGUUAAGUCCCAUAAACGAGCGCAACCCCUACCUUUAGUUGCCAUCAGGUAAUGCUGGGGACUCUAAAGGAACUGCCUACGCAAGUAGUGAGGAAGGCGGGGAUGACGUCAAAUCAGCACGGCCCUUACGUCCAGGGCUACACACGUGCUACAAUGGCCGAUACAGAGGGCAGCUACCUGGUGACAGGAUGCAAAUCUCCAAAGUCGGUCUCAGUUCGGAUCGGAGUCUGCAACCCGACUCCGUGAAGUUGGAUUCGCUAGUAAUCGCGCAUCAGCCAUGGCGCGGUGAAUACGUUCCCGGGCCUU
rnacentral:rRNA from 1 species